CCUACGGGAGGCAGCAGUGAGGAAUAUUGGUCAAUGGGCGUAAGCCUGAACCAGCAAAGUCGCGUGAGGGAUGAAGGUUCUCUGGAUCGUAAACCUCUUUUAUAAGGGAAUAAAGUGCGGGACGUGUCCCGUUUUGUAUGUACCUUAUGAAUAAGGAACGGCUAACUCCGUGCCAGCAGCCUCGGUAAUACGGCGGAUCCGAGCGUUAUCCGGAUUUAUUGGGUUUAAAGGGUGCGUAGCCGGCCUUUUAAGUCAGCGGUGAAAGUCUGUGGCUCAACCAUAGAAUUGCCGUUGAAACUGGGAGUCUUGAUGAUGUUUGAGGCGGGCGGAAUGCGUGGUGUAGCGGUGAAAUGCUUAGAUAUCACGCAGAACCCCGAUUGCGAAGGCAGCCUGCCAAGCCAUGACUGACGCUGAUGCACGAAAGCGUGGGGAUCAAACAGGAUUAGAUACCCCUGUAGUC
rnacentral:rRNA from 1 species